CAGACAUCGUGUCAUUUCAUCGCUACUCCCUAAAUACAUACUACUCUGUAAAUCAUAUGGACAUUUUCUUAGGAUCCAAAUCUCCACAAGCAAAGCCAAGAACAGACGAAAGGCUCUCCGCAGUGCUUCUCCAGUAUAUCCCGGCAGCUCUAACUCCAAGUGGGGUGUGCCCCCAACCAACACCACCAGACUGCUUUAAUCCUAUUUAUGGAAAGAAAGUAGAAGAGAGAAAAGACAGCAACAAGACCUCAAGC